CGUAUGUCGUGGCUCGAGCUUCUGGGAGGAGCUGUUCAGAGAGGCGAAUCAGAUAUGAGCCACGUUCGGAUCAUUACUUCCGUUUGCCAGUUGUGCGGGGGAACGUCGCCAUCGAGUUCAUGUCCAUGAUCAGAGAGUCUUUGAACAAUGAAGGAAUUGUUUAGACCAGGACAGAGGCCUCCAGAAUUCAAAGUUCAAGCAUUAGAUGACAGAAAUGAAGAUGUUUCCAGAAGGUCUGCGAAAUGCCAGCAGUUUUGCAAGAACAGCUGCGUGUGGAAGGCUAUCAUGUAAUGCCAGGGAGUCAAGAGUGCUUGGAGAGGUGUUCAUGGAAUUUGUAAAUGAAAGUCCAGGUGCAGUAAAAGAACAGAAGGAAUCACUUUUGUAAAUGAGAUACAGUGAAAUCAACAGUGCUGCGUUUUGGGGAAUUCAUUUAUAUGGUAAGAGUGGUGUGUCUGUGAUCACACAGAGUGUUUGUGAGUGGGAGAGAGGCGUGCACGUAAUUCAGCAGCUGCUUCACGUCAAGUGUGCAAGAGAGAGUACUGACAUUGCUUAUGUUUAGUAUUAAUUGGAUUAAAAGUAAUAGUAUAAGUUUUGUAUGUGUUUUCAAAUUGAUAUUACAAAAGUGAUGUUGUAGAAAUGUCAAAUGUUGUCUAGUUAAUAAAAUUAAAGACAGUGUGUAAAUAUUGUCACAGUGUUUUGUUUAAUCAAUGUUAUUUAGUAUUAUUUUUGUUUCAUGUGUAUUUGUUUGCGUUAGUCAAAGUAUGUGAGUUUUUUUAUAUGUAUGGUCUGUUGUUAUUGUAUUCUACCUACUGUGUUGUUGCAAGUGUCUUAUGUUCAUGUGUUCUUCCCAACUGUCUUAAUUGUGUUUUUCGUAGUGUCUUAUGUUCAUGUGAUCUUCCCAAGUGUUUUAAUGUGUUGUUCCUCUCAACUGUCUUAAAUUGUGUUCCCUCUACUGUUUUGUUGCAAGUGUCUUAUGUUCAUGUGAUCUUCCCAACUGUUUUAAUGCGUUGUUCCUCUCAACUGUCUUAAUUGUGUUUUCCAUACUGUUUUGUUGCAAGUGUCUUAUGUUCAUGUGAUCUUCCCAACUGUUUUAAUGCGUUGUUCUUCUGAACUGUCUUAAUUGUGUUUCCUCUACUGUCUUGUUGCAAGUGUGUUAUGUUCAUGUGUUCUUCCCAACUGUUUUAAUGUGUUGUUCCUACUGUCUUGUUGCAAGUGUCUUAUGUUCAUGUGAUCUUCCCAACUGUUUUAAUGCGUUGUUCUUCUGAACUGUCUUAAUUGUGUUCCCUCUACUGUCUUGUUGCAAGUGUCUUAUGUUCAUGUGUUCUUCCCAACUGUUUUAAUGCGUUGUUCUUCUGAACUGUCUUAAUUGUGUUCCCUCUACUGUCUUGUUGCAAGUGUCUUAUGUUCAUGUGAUCUUCCCAACUGUUUUAAUGCGUUGUUCUUCUGAACUGUCUUAAUUGUGUUCCCUCUACUGUCUUGUUGCAAGUGUCUUAUGUUCAUGUGUUCUUCCCAACUGUUUUAAUGCGUUGUUCUUCUGAACUGUCUUAAUUGUGUUCCCUCUACUGUCUUGUUGCAAGUGUCUUAUGUUCAUGUGAUCUUCCCAACUGUUUUAAUGCGUUGUUCUUCUGAACUGUCUUAAUUGUGUUCCCUCUACUGUCUUGUUGCAAGUGUGUUAUGUUCAUGUGUUCUUCCCAACUGUUUUAAUGUGUUGUUCCUGUCAACUGUCUUGUUGCAAGUGUCUUAUGUUCAUGUGAUCUUCCCAACUGUUUUAAUGUGUUGUUCCUCUCAACUGUCUUGUUGCAAGUGUCUUAUGUUCAUGUGAUCUUCCCAACUGUUUUAAUGCGUUGUUCUUCUGAACUGUCUUAAUUGUGUUCCCUCUACUGUCUUGUUGCAAGUGUGUUAUGUUCAUGUGUUCUUCCCAACUGUUUUAAUGUGUUGUUCCUGUCAACUGUCUUGUUGCAAGUGUCUUAUGUUCAUGUGAUCUUCCCAACUGUUUUAAUGUGUUGUUCCUCUCAACUGUUUUGUUGCAAGUGUCUUAUGUUCAUGUGUUCUUCUGAACUGUUUUAAUUGUGUUUUCCCUAUUGUUUCAAUAAAACAAUAUUUUCACGGUCCGAUUUGCAAUAUGGUACGAGUUCCACUCAGUCAACGAGCUGGGUGGUGACGGGUGGGUUCAGGGUAAAAAUUUUUUGAUAUGCAAAUU